UUGCUCCCUUCAGCAGCACAUAUACUAAAAUUGGAAUAAUGCAGAGAAGAUUAACAUGGCCCCUGUGAAAGGAUGACAUGCAAAUUUGUGAAGUGUUCCAUAUUUAA